UACAGAGGUCUCAAGCGUUGUUCGGAUUCAUUGGGCGUAAAGGGUGCGUAGGCGGCGCGGUAAGUCGGGUGUGAAAUCCCUCGGCUUAACCGGGGAACUGCGUCUGAUACUGGAUGGCUAGAGGUUGGGAGAGGGAUGCGGAAUUCCAGGUGUAGCGGUGAAAUGCGUAGAUAUCUGGAGGAACACCGGUGGCGAAGGCGGCAUCCUGGACCAAUUCUGACGCUGAGGAGCGAAAGCCAGGGGAGCAAACGGG
rnacentral:rRNA from 1 species